AUUAUUUCUCGGCCUUUUGGCUAAAAUCAAGUAUAGUGUGUUAUGAGUGUACUAUCCAAUGUAUCCUCUAUCCGAGGCCAGUAUGCUCCAUGGAUUUUUGGAGCUAAGAGAUGGGACAGGAGCAGUUUCUGUCCACUCCACGCAUCGACCUGGUAUUUCAGUUCCUCCAGAACACUGCACCACCU
ensembl:snRNA LOC120099513 U2 spliceosomal RNA